CUACGGGGCGCUCCAGUGGGGAAUCUUAGACAAUGGGCGCAAGCCUGAUCUAGCCAUGCCGCGUGAGUGAUGAAGGCCUUAGGGUCGUAAAGCUCUUUCGCUGGGGAAGAUAAUGACGGUACCCAGUAAAGAAACCCCGGCUAACUCCGUGCCAGCAGCCGCGGUAAUACGGAGGGGGGUAGCGUUGUUCGGAAUUACUGGGCGUAAAGCGCGCGUAGGCGGACUGUUAAGUCGGGGGUGAAAUCCCGGGGCUCAACCCCGGAACGGCCUUCGAUACUGGCAGUCUGGAGUUCGAGAGAGGUGAGUGGAAUUCCGAGUGUAGAGGUGAAAUUCGUAGAUAUUCGGAGGAACACCAGUGGCGAAGGCGGCUCACUGGCUCGAUACUGACGCUGAGGUGCGAAAGUGUGGGGAGCAAACAGGAUUAGAUACCCUGGUAGUC
rnacentral:rRNA from 1 species